CCCCUCCUUUCUAUGCACCCCCCUCCAUUCGCAUAGUGCAGCGCCAGCCCUUUUCUGAGUCACGGCGGUGUCUAACCAAACCCACCUUGCUGGCUGCUCUAUUUUUUUACUCAUCCACUCUGCCUCAGAAAACCCUGUCAUGACUUAUGAAUGAAUAGUACACCCCUGACACCUAAUACCCCCAUUGGAUAAUUUAGCCACCCAAGAAACAUCACGUUCGUUUAACACGUCUUCCACUUGAGAGUGUUACUAUUCACUCUCUGCAGCAGAUUGUACUUUUCACGACAAACGCUGAUUUUCACCUGGACACAUCCUUUAUGAUCAUCAAAGGCGGUACACAGAUGGAUUGUCCGACGUGAUGGAGGAUGCAGUCAAAAUCUGUCUGCAAAAAAUGAAGUGAUUAGGCAGUACAAUUUUUUUUCAGCAUGAAGUAUCAGUUUCUUCAUGGCUAUGCAAACAGACGAGUUGAUGAACUACUUCUACUACUUAAUACCAAGGUGGUCACUUACUAGAGGUAUCUGGAAGGUCUUCAUGGUGCUCAGAGGAUUUCUGAUUCCAAAACACAGGAUACUGCAGAAUCUGCAUUACGUACGAAGAACAAAGGCCUUCAAAAUAAAUUUGUUUACAAAUCAGGUGGCCAUUGCACAGUGCCUUCAGAAGCAGAUAAAGCAAAAUGUUAUGCUGUGGAUUUAAUUAGCAUGAAAUGUGAAUGCGCCGUUUCUGAAAGGGGUAAUUUGUGCAAGCAUAUUGAGUUUCCAAAAAUGAUGUGCAAAGAACAGGGGAUUGAUAUUGAUGGAAUUCGAAAAGAAUUAGCCAGUUCACUAACUGAACAGCAUUGCUAUGAGUGGGAUGGAAAACAUUUAAUUGUACAUUGUGCUGGUAGUUUUGGAGUAGUACAUGUGCAAAACCAACAGUGUACCUGUCUUGCCAAUAGUCUUGGAGAAAUAUGUGUCUGUCUAAGACUUUCUGAGAUAAUUGGUACACAGAACCCUAACCAAGAGGUAACGGACUGCUUUGUGAAUACCACAGCAAAUUGUCAAUCACACAACUGUUGUGUGUAAAGAAGAUGAUUUCAGACUUAAAGGAGUGGUGUGACAGCAGUGAUUAUAAGGAAUCUCCAGAGUUGAAUGCUGUAGUAAAACGUGCACACCAACUAGCAUUUGGACAGUAUAGCAUGGCCAGCAAUAAAAUAAAAAUUAUAAGGCUGCAUGCUUACAGAAAAUGCAUUGAAAGAGCAAGAAGCCAUGCUAUAGACAUGCAUUCAUAUCAGCUCAAAGAACCCCUUAAUCGAGCUUUAUAUACCCAUAGACCUGAUUCCAAAUUCAAAGUCUGUUCCUUUAGAAAAAGAAUAAUUGGUAGCAGAGCAAAGAAUCAGAUACUAAAAUCGAGCUGAACGUGUGCUGUUAUGAGCCCACGCCUUUAUUUUUGAAUUACAGAAUGCACACAAAACUGGACAAAGUAUAGAGGUUAAUUACAACUGUUAAGGACCUCAAAGGUCUCUUCAAGUAAGAGUGAAAUAGCUAUUUAUAUGUAUAGUGGCAGCAUGUUUUAUAUAUACAAGAAAAAAUGCUGUAAAGUAAGAAUGCUUUCAAAAA